ACCAUAUAAUAACACCAUUUGGUUUGUUCAAUAUUACAAGAUUUCCAUUUUUGUGAAUUGUGACUAUUCCAUUUGAAUCUUUGAGUGGUUGAUCUCUGUUUGCAAUCCAUAUAUUGUUGGUCUCAUUGAUGUACCAAAUUCCUAGGUAACGGUUGGUUGAAUUUAAUGGGCUGAAAAAUCCUAGCUUGAAGUUUGUGUUGUUUGAGGUUAUUGUUUCAUUGUCUUUGAGAGAUUUGGAUGGUGUAAUGGUGUCAUUGAUUGCACUAUAACAUGAAUAAAAGGUGCAAAAUAUGAGGACUGUAAUGAAUAAGUCAUUUGUAUUAUGACGUAGAAAAGCCAUUAAUGUGUAACAAAAUUGUUUAGACAAUGAUGAUUUUUUGAGGAAUACUAGAACUUAGUUUGGUUUGAUGAGUUUGUAAUUUGUAACAUAUUCCUAUUCAAACUAUCAUGAUUCAUGUGGAUUGUGGAAGAUGUUUUGUAUAGCUUCUGGAUAUCUAUUUUUGCAUAAAUAAAAACAAAAGAACCAAUUAAGAAGUCAAUUCGUGACAAUUACAAGGAUUGUUGCUAGGGGUGUUGGGGGAUCGAUUUGGUUAAUUUUUUUUUUUUAAUUUUUUGAUGAGAAGAUUUGGGGUGAUUUUUUGGUAAAAGUUUAUUUGAUUCAAAGAUUAAAAGCUAACAUGCUGUUUGGUUUGGUUUAGUUUUUUUUUUGGUAACCCGGUCUUAGCAAUUCAAAGUUUAGACGGGAGUUAGUAAAAAAUUGUUCUUAUUAUGAAUUAAACUCAACUUUUCUUGAACGACUAGUAUCAUGAGGAGCUCAAUAACCACUAAAGUCAAAUGAACAAUUAUAUAAUUUAGUUUAGUUUAGUAUUUUUUUGGUGUAAAUCGGGUAUCCUCCGCGCGCAACUGCGGAGACUAAUCCCUCGAGCAUUGUGGGACCCAAAUGGGCGGCAGGCUCUCCCUAAGAGUUUUAACAGUGCUGCAUGCCCAAGGCUUGAUUCGAACCCAGGACAUUGGUUAAGCUAGAAGAGACCCGUUCCAUCUCAUCUAAGUGCUCUUGGGUUAGUUUAAUAUGAUUUAACAGUUUAUUAAAAAAAUCAGAUCUAAUUAAAUAUAAAAAAAUCGGAUCUAAUUAAAUUUGUUUCAAUAGAAAAAUAUUAGUAGUUACACUACCAAAAAAGAAUAAAAAAUAUUAGUAGUUGGUUUUUUACCGUCGACAAAAAUAACAUUAGUAGUUAAUUUUUGUUAAGGUGAAGAGGAAAAUAUUAGUAGCCGAAUUGAACAUUCUUGUCAAAAAAGAAAGAAAGGAUUUGAACCUUUGGUCUCCCAAACCAAACAUUAGACUACUCUCAUCAAGAAAAAUGUUAGUUAUUAAUUUUAAAUUAAAUGUAUAAAAAUUUAGGUUAAGGAAUGAUGCUCCAAUUUAAGGUACGAAAAUCCUUCAGGGUUUAAGUUUAAGUUCUAUCAUUUUACCAUUAGAUUAAGCGUUUAAAGUUAGAUGAUUCAUUUUUGAUUAACACAUAUAACUUAAUUGUAUAUAUUACGCCGAAUAAUAUAUUAUAGGUUAAAAAUAACAUCAACAUAUGUACUAGCAAUGUAUUAAAAUAUAAAUUAUUAGUAUAUAUUAAAUUUAUAAAUAUUGGUGUGUUUGGUUUAAUGAUUGUUGUUUUUAUAAAAAUCUAAAAGCUGAUGGGAUUAGUUUUAAUAAAAGAAAAAUAACGAAAAUAAUUUUAAAAAAUGGAUCUUGUUGAGAUUUCGAAUUCUGUAAAUCAACAUGUAAUUUUCUUUUGAAUUGAUUUGUAUGCAAACACCCCUCCUAACUAUGAGAUCAAGACAGCAAUUAGCUGCUUAAAUCAAAGAGAUGAAGACCAUUUCAAAGUUAUCAUUUAUAAAGUUAAAAUAUUCAUUCCAAUUCCAAUAAUAGAAAGUCAACAAAAUAUAGUAAAUUAUUAUCAUGCCGACGUUAUGAUUGUGACUUUGAUUUUCUUGACAGCAUAGAAUUAGAUCAAUGAUUUGUUGGUGGAAUUUCACAUUCUAGUCAACAAAUCACACAUGUCAUAUCACGUCCUUGUUUGUCUGCAAAGAACCGAAGAAGACAAUGGAUUUGAGUUAUUUCGAGGGGUGGUAAAAUGGACCGAACCAGCAGGACCGACCCGUUUAGUCGGUUUUUUUGGUGGGUUGAGUCAAAUAUUUAAACUUAUUUUUUAUAGUUGGCUUGUCCCUCUUGAUUCCUUGAAAAAAACAAGACGGGAUGAGCCGCUUAACUCAUUUUUUUAAGACUUAUUUUAUCAUAUUAGAUUUAUUUUGAUUUUUUUUUUUGACAAAGAUUUAUUUUGGUUGUUAGAUUUAUUUUAGAAUUUAUUUUAUGUUGUGGAUUUGAAAGUGCGAGAUAAAUCAUAUCUAUCGUGAAGUUAAUCAAUGUGCAGAUAAAUUAGUUAAUAUUGGUUAUGCUUGAAGAGUUUUAAAAAUCGGACCGAACAUCAAAUCGAUCAAGGCACUGGAUCACUGGGUCAUUAGUCCAACCAUUGAGUCACUAGUCGAACCGCAUGACAAAACCAUAUUAAAUCGGAAAGCUCGAUAGUAUGACUCGUCUCUAUGAAAAAUUUGUUGUAUGAUUUAUCUUUAUUGAAUCAUGUGAUUUGAUCUAUAUAAAAAUAUCCAAGUGCCAUGGUACCUGUAAAAUAAAAUAAAAAUCAUAAAAAAAAAAUAGCAUUGUUUUACUCAUAAAAUAAAUGAACAUGUGAAAAAUAUAAUAUGCAUAUAGGUUAAUUGGAUUUUUUUUGGGUACAACACACACUACAAAAAAUAAUAAUUAAGGGUAGCAUAAAAAAAAGUAGUUAUUAAACAAGAACGAUUUCUCUUGAAGGAAAAAAAAUCAUACAAUAACGAUUUAAUUAGUAUAAAAUGAUUGAUUAUAUCAUUAAAAAAUUACUAUUGUGCCAAACAAAUAACAUAAGUAAAACGCAAAGUUUUCAAACAGAGCAUAAAACAUCACGUGAUUCUAUAGAGAUGGAGGGUAAUAUUGACAUUUUUUAAUAUGUAGGGUUUCCUUUCUUUUGUUUAAAGAGGUAAAAAUAGUGACUCUUAAUAAAUAUCCUCCGUCAAUUAUUCUCUUUAUAAUUUCAUCUCCAAACAACAAUAUCAACUGUCUCUUUCUCUCAAAAAAAAAAAAAUAAAAAAAUCAGCGGUCUCUUAUUAUAUUUACGAUUUUCAAUCUAUCUAAAUUUCCCUUUUUGUUUCUUACUUCUUAUUUCUUGUUUCUCCAUCUCUAAUGAAAUCUAGAUCUGCCAAUUUUUCAAUUAUUAAGAAAAAGUAGAGGUCAAGCGUUGAACUGGCCGGUUUACAGAAAUUCUUGAGUCAUCGGUUUAUUUCAAUUUUGACCGGUUCACGCCGGUUCCCACUAGAUCAUUAAAAUGACCAAUCUGAUAACCAGACCGGACCGAUUACCCUACAGGUUAUUGGUUCAACCGGUUCGAUCGAUCGAUAUGGUCCGAUUUUAUGAACUUACAAAAGAAACGUUAAUUUAUGAGUUGUUUGAUAGUGAUUGUUUAAAAUGAAAUUAUAUAUAGAAAAACUUUUCCCUAUAGUUGAACUUACGAAAUGUUACUUACAAGUGUAGCCACUGAAAGUCAAUGUCUGGAAGGGUUAACUUAGAUUUCAACAAGAGCAUACAUUUUCUAACUACAUUUUUAAGUAACAUCAACAUCAUUAUCCUUAACUUCAACGGUGAACUAGAAACAUAGUAUUGUGUGGUACUAGUAAAUGACAAAAGAAAAUGAUGUGAACACAAUAUUUUUGUUGACAAUAAAAUAUUGGGAAUCUUUGAAUUUUUUGUCCUAGAAAUCAUACAUAGCUCAAUCAGCGUAAUCAGUUCUAAUGAUAUAAUUAACCUUAUUUUAUCACUUAACCAAUUCCUACUUGGCAUCAUAAUCAGCCUAUAAUUUAGAAUCAGAUCAUCACCUAAGUAAUUCAGUUAAUCUAUUUUUGUCCAACAAAAAUCGAUUAAUCAAGUUCGUUUUCUAUAUUAACCAAAUUCCAGCCUCUAAAUAGAUUUCUACGUACUGAAAAUUGAUUUUUUACAACAAAUAAUCUGGUUUAAACUAUCGAAGUCAUAGAGAAAGGGAAAAAAAAUUCAUAUAACAUCAACAACAAACAUAACACAAUUUACAUGAAAUACAUGAAUAAAUGUAAGAAACAUAAUUUAUGGAUGAUCGGUUAUAGGGCUUUGCUUGCAAACUUGUUAUCUAUUGACUGUAGAACUCGCUGAGAAUGUCUCAGUUUGUGAAUUAAUCUACAAAAAAUUGUUUUGAUACUUUCAUUAAAUGAUGAAUGAUUAUAUCAAAUGUCUUGACAAUGUUGGAGUUUCAAAACUGAAUUUCUAUUGAUUUUCAAGCAAACGAGCAAGAUAUAACCGCUGUUUAAAUUUUCAACGAACUCUGAUUUGCCACAAAAAUAUUUUGAAUUGAAAUCCAUUAUUUUAACGGGAAACUUGGUGACCAAGAAUAAUUUUGUGGUCUAGAAUAGUCCACAUAUAUAUGAGAUGUUUUUAAUUGUUUGUCUAGACUUUGAUUGUGUGUUUUUUCUUUGUUGGGUCAAACAAUGUAGUGGUUUAAACUUGGCAAUUUUAAACAAUUAGUCCUUUAAUUUAAUUUUAGGUAACACUUUCGUCCUUUAUCUUCUUUUUUUAACGAUUUAGUCCUUUAUGUUAUAAAAUGAAACUAUUUUAUCAUUUUUUUAUGAGAUUUUUUCAAUGAAAUUUGAUUUUCUAGACUAGUAUGAUGAAGAUUUGCGUUUGUCUAUGAGUUUGAUGAAUUUUUAUUUUGGAAUUUUUGAUUAUUUUUGCAUAAAAAGGAUAACUAUGUUGUUAUUUUAUAACAUAAAGGCCUAAAUCGUUACAAAAAAAGAUAAAGGACAAAAAUGUUAUCUAAAAUUAAUUAGUUAAGGGACUAAUUGUGUAAUUUUACCUUUAAACUUUAAACAUACAAAUGAAUUUGGUUCUAUUGCAUGUUUUGCAACAAAUAAUUUCUGAAAGAGUUGUACGCAUCCUGAAAGAAUUUUAGAAUGCUUGUGAUAUUAUAUUUGAUAAGUCAUUUGUGGAAUAUAUCAAUAUUAUAUUGGUUCGAGUGGAACUUAUUUUGUAUUAAAUUAGGUCUCGUGUUCAAGUAUUGGUGAUGAAAAAAAUGUACUUGGGAAGGAAGGUUCCAUAAAGGAUAAUCAAAUUCACAUGCAGAGAUUACUAUUUACCGGUAAAGGUAACAUAGUUACAAAACAAAGUCAUAUUUAAGUGAAAUUUACUACUCCCUCCGAUCCUUGUGCAAAGAUGUAUUAGGUUUAUUAGUUAUUAGAUUGAGAACAAUUUCGCAGCCACAACAAUCAGGGCAAUACAAGAACUCUUCCCAAAUUAAUAAAUAGGAAACAAAUUUGUUUAUUGACAAAACUGAGUAAACUAUGAUCAAAUAAUAGUUUUUUCCUUAACAAUGGUAGUAUUCAUCUCAAGCAUAUUAUUUACCUGCCAAUGACAUCACUCAAAGUUACAUUGUUGUUUGAGUUAGAUCGAUGACUUUGUUGAGAAGAUUCUGUACUUCGAGAAUUUUGGUUGUGAACAAAUGCAACUUUACCGGGAGGUGGAAGAUGUGUAAUCUCACUUAUGAGCAUCAAAACAACAGUUGAUAUACUUGGUCUUUCUUUUGGAAGUUCUUGCACACAAAGAAGUCCUAUGUGCAUGCACCUCAACAUGCUGCUUUCAAAGGAUGCAUCCCAUACCUCUCGAUCUAUUAGGGAUAUAGUAUUUUCUUCUAACCAUAGCUUCCAUGCCUAGAAAGAAACAAAACAAAGAUAAAGUUAUUACUAAUAAUAUUGAGAUUCUUUCUAAAUUUGCCUCAAACACUCUUUUUAUUAUUGGUUAAAAUUUGCGCAGACAUUUCAGUUGUGAAAAUGGAUCCCAUAAUAUAAAAACUCUAAUUCACGUAAAAUAAUGGAACCCACACAAAUUUUAGACAAUAAUGAAGUGAUGAACAUGUAUUGCUAAACUUUUUGUCAAAUAAAGUAAUAGAGACAUGGAUUACAUAGACUUACAAAGCCAACAAGGCUAAGAGAAUCCUCAUUUUGAUAAAAGCUGUUAUUUCUUCGUCCGCUUACAAUCUCUAGCAAUAAAACACCAAAGCUAUAUACAUCUGAUUUCUCUGAGAAAAGUCCCCCCAUUGCAUAUUCAGGCGGCAUAUAACCACUACAUUUAGAGCAUAUAUAUUAUAAUAAGUACAUAUGUAAUAACUAACUCACUAAUUUGUAAGAUUAAUUAUUUUAACAUUAUAUUGUCAAAUGAUAUAGGAAUACUUACUAAGUUCCAACAACCCUUUUUGUGUUAGCUUCAUCACCUUCUCCACCUUUAACAAUUCUAGCUAAACCAAAGUCUGAUAUUUUUGGAAUCAUCUCAUCAUCAAGUAAGAUGUUGCUUGCUUUUAAAUCUCUGUGUAUAAUCUUAAGUCUCGAGUCUCUAUGAAGAUACAUUAUUCCUCGAGCUAUUCCUUCAACUAUGUUCGACCGCUUUCUCCAAUCUAACUUUUUCUUUUGUAUUGGAUCUUAAAAAACAUAAACAAUAACUUAAUGUGAUGACAAAUUGAGUGCUUUAAGAACAUUGAGCAGCAUGAAACACACUAAGAAGAUAUUUGGAUAUACAAUAUAAUUUUGGAUUUAUAAACUAUGUGUCAUGCUAACUGGUGUUCCCGGGCACUGGUUAAAGAUAUCAAAAACAACUUCUGUCAGUAAGUUAUAAGAAUGAGUUUUUGAAAAUUAAGUAACGUAUCUUAAGCUAAUUUAUAGGCUCUUUCAAAUAUUCAAUAUGUUUAUUUAACAUUUCAAAAAAAUUCAUUAAUUAUUUUAGGCUAAAAGUAAUUGAACUAACAAUUUAAUUUUAGGUUAGAAUACAAAUGAGUGAAAAGAACUAACCAAAGAGAAAGGCAUCCAAACUUUUAUUUGGCAUGAACUCAUAGACCAACAUUUUCUCUCCUCUUUCAACACAACAACCAAGAAGUCUUACAAGAUUGCGAUGUUGAAGUUUAGAAAUCACUACAACUUCAUUCAUGAAUUCUUCUAUUCCUUGUCCAGAUGCUUUUGAGAGUCUUUUCACAGCAAUUUCUUGACCAUCUUCCGUGACUCCCUAUAUAGUAUAAAAAAUAUUUUAAUAUUGAAUUUAUGAUAUAAUACAAAAAAUGUCAUACAAAAUCUUAGACAAAAUCACCUUGUAUACCGGGCCAAAACCUCCCUUGCCAAGCAUAUUAUUAAAAUGAAAACUGUUUGUGGCAGUUUCAAGCUUUUCAAAAUCAUAUAGUGGUAGCUCAUCCAAUUUCAUUUGUUUACAUUCUCUAGUAGUCAAGUUUCGAGAUUGUCUUCCUGAAAUGAAUUUUUCAAGUGUUAAGAAGGGUAUAUAUUGUCAACAUGAAAGAAAUUCCAAAUUUACAAAAACAUUAGUUCUUUUAAUAUCAAAAGUAUGUAUAUGCUUCAUACUUGAAUGUUAUUGUGUUUGCAACUUAUGCGACGUUGAGGGGUUGCGUGAAGGUAGGGUUUUUAGGGUAUACCAGAGGGGUUUUAACAGAUUCAGAUGCAUUCUCUCAAAUUUCUCUCCAUGAAAUUUUGUCCCACAAACCCUAAUUUUCAUUACAUCUUUUGUUAACCAGUGAUCAUGAAUAGUCUCUUUCAAGUAAAGAAUUAUCCUUAUAACCUCAAUUUGACUGUUGUUGUUGUUGUUCCUCUAGGUAAGAUUCUUUCUUUAGUUCAAGUUUCCUUUUCAACUAGUAUUCCCAUUCUAUUGCUGUUGUUGUUGUUGUUUUUUACAUUUUGCUUAAAGAUUCUACCUUAUGUUGUGUCAGGAAUGGGAUUAGGAGACCAAGUUAUUUAUCUAAGUUUGUUCAAUUGUUCUCUCUCACUUAGGUAAGGGUUAAAUCUUUGGUUCUUGAGAUUUAAUUUUUGUGUUGUUCUUGUAAUUAAAUUGGUAAAUGUUUGUUAUCCUAGGAGUGUUGUCAGUUGUCUAGCAAUGGAGUCACCUUGGAAGGAGUUAAUCCAAGGAUUUCACUACUCAAACUAAGGUAAUGAUUGAGUUAACUAGAUCUUAAAUCAUAGGUCCUCUGAUGUAAGACCAACAACAAUGUCUCAUUUCUCUAUUUUGUUUGGGGAAAAGCUAUCAAGUAUGGACACUCUUUGGAUUAGACGUGUUCAAGCAUUCAACACGUAUCGUGUUCGAUAUCGACAACUUUCUUUAUCAUAUUCACUUUAUGUUUUCAUUUUUUCUCUCUAUUGUUUUGGUUUUUGUGUCAAAAUUAUCAUAUAAAAUAGGGGAGCUUCUAUGGUGCAGUCAGCAAACUGACUUUUUUGGAAAAGUUAAUUUUGAUCUUAAUGUGUAAUUCAUUUUUAAAUUGUUGAUUACAAAUUAAUGAUCAAUAGUAAUUCAUCUAGUAAUGCUUGCAACAUCUUGGACUUACAGGUACUAUUUUAUCGUUGGCAUCUUUAACAUGCAAACAUAGUUGAUGAUAUUAUGUGAUAGUCUUAUGUGUUACACUUUGUGGGGUGUUACACUUAAACAAGGUAGAAUAAAAUUAGAUUAAGUGUAGUCUUGUUAAUUUGAUGAAUUGAUGUUAGGCUUAAUUGCACUUUUGGAUCCCUAUCUUUCCAAAAGUUGCGGUUAUGGACCCCUAACUAAUUUAAAUACAAAACAGCCCCCUAUGUUUUGAUUCUUUGGCAGUUUUGAACCCCCAGUCCAGUGUUGACUCGGUCAAUGCUGACGUGGCACCCUAAGUGAGGUGCCACAUGUCAAAUUUUUUAUUUUUAUUUUGCCUUGGGGGUCCAAAACUGCCAAAGAAUUAAAACAUAUGGGGCUGUUUUGUAUUUAAAUUAGUUAGGGGUCCAUAACCGCAACUUUUGGAAAGAUAGGGGUUCAAAAGUGCAAUUAAGCCCUUGUUGUUACUAUGAGGACUGAACUUUUGAUGCCACUGUACAAACAGUCAGGUAUUACUCACUAUCUUUUUUAUGCUAGUGUUAACUUCACCAAAAAAGUCAUUCUGAUGACUUGACCAUAAAAUUUUCCAUAAAAUAAUUGUUCAAAUAACUUUCUAUCUUUUUGAAAAUGGAAUUACACCCUCCAAUAAAUGUCACUCACUUUUUAACACAUGCUUUUCAAUUCAAGUUUGAACUAGAAAUCAGGAAACUUUACCUUUAUGCCUAGCAGAACGUCUUAGCCACAAAAGAUAAGCACAUACAACCAAAGUAAAUGCUCCCGUGCCCCCAGCAAUUGAAAUGAUUAAAAAACCCUUCUUGUGCCCCUUUUCCUUUUUAACUGCACCCGUAUAUGAUUCAGCUUAUUAGAAUGAAUAAAAGCUUAAACAAAUUAUCUCUAAAAAAAAAAAAAAAACUUAAACAAAUUAAUACAUUUUUAAGGAAAAAUAAAUAAAUCCUUGUCCACGAGGUGUGAGCUUGGUAAUGAAAAUUUGACUUCAUAAUUGAAAGCAAAUAGUUCAAAUCUCAUAUAGAAGAGAUGUAAAUUGAUUAUUGGUUUCACCGUUGUUGAUAAAAAUAAAAACAAAAAUAAACUCUUAAAAAGAAAGAGCGGAAAGAUACCAAGUUCUGCCGGGACACGGAUGAAGAGAUCAACUCCUCCAUGAGGAAAGUUUUGCAAACCAAUUAAGUCUCCACUCCAAUACACGCAACCUAUAUAACGAUCAUAUGCAUAUGCCAAACAAGAACAAUUUACCAAACAAUCUGUUCUACAUUUAUCUUGAUUACCAGCUGAUCUCUCAUUAAAAUCAGGAACUUUCAUAUUCCGAUUCACCAAAAAACCAUCUUGUUUAAAUUCAUUUGAUCCGGUCUUCAACAUCUCACACUUCAAGUUCAUUCCUGCUGUCCUCACACAACCAUUAGUCCAAUUCCUUGAACUCCAUUCCACCAAAUUCUUUGGCUCAAACCCUUUAAAACAACUACAAAUAUUUGGUACACUAGAAUUAUCACAAUUUCCAAAUGGCCCACAUUUUCCAUAAAAAUCACACUCAUUUUGAUCCACCUCAAGUCUAAAAUGUUCCUUUUUAUUCUUAUACUCAAUCAACUUAAGUGUCCCAUGUGGUGUCAAUGAGAGAAUUCCAAACAUAGUUUUGUCGGCGAAAUUAUAAGUUAUAAAAGUGGUUCCAUCAUCGUCGACACCUAAACGCCAACCAAAUAGAUAUUCGGUUGACAAUCUUGGCGUUCCGAGAAAAACCCUUCCAUUCCAUGGACCAGUUCUCCAAUAAAUUUUUUUAUCUUUCCAAAUGAAAACUUCUGGUACAUCCAAUCUUUCAACACUAAUUGUAAAAUGUCCCGAAGAAGGAUCAUUGUCACUUUUUCUUGCUACAAAAGCAAUUUGCUUACCUGUAACUUUAUUAGAUGCAAUUUUCAUCGAUGGAACAGCUGAAUCUGCAGGGUGUGUGAAACUAUCCCAGAUUGUUGCUCCAGAAUUGAUGUCUCUUAGAAUCAAGUUCCCUGCAUCAUCAAGUUUAGCUGUUGAAUUUGUUGAAGAUGAAAUGUUUGUUGACCAAAUGAUGAUACCAUUUGGUUUGUUCAAUAUUACAAGAUUUCCAUCUUUGUGAAUUGUGACAAUUCCAUUUGAAUCUUUGAGUGGUUGAUCUCUGUUUGCAAUCCAUAUGUUGUUGGUCUCAUUGAUGUACCAAAUUCCUAAGUAACGGUUGUUCGAAUUUAAUGGGCUGAAAAAUCCUAGCUUGAGGUCUGUGUUGUUUGAGGUUAUUGUUUCAUUGUCUUUGAGUGAUUUUGAUGAUGUAAUGGCGUUGUUGGUAGAACUAUAACAUGAAUAAAAUGUGCAAAAUAUGAGGAAUGUAAUGAAUAAGUCAUUUAUAUUAUGACUUAGAAAAAGCCAUAAAUGUGUAACAAAACUGUUUUAGAUGAUGAUGUUUUUUGAGGAAUACUAGAACUUAGAUAGGCUUUAUGAGUUUGUAAUUUGUAACAUGUUCCUAAUCAAACUAUCAUGUGGAAGAUGUUAUUGUUGAAUUGUGGCGUCAUUGAGAUUUGAGAUGCAUUAUUUUAUUAUCAAGAAGCCAAAUUUUGUAUGGUUAUUUAAUUAAAAAAAAAUUAUAAAUGAAAAAUUAUGUAAAGAACUAAGAAGUCAACUCGUGACGGACAAUUAUGAGGGUUGUUGCUAAGGGUGUCGGGAGAUCGAUUAGGAUUGAUUUUGAGGUAAAAUUUUAUUUGAUUCAAAGACCUAAAUGAAUAUGUGGUUUAGUUUAGUUUGAUUUGAAGUUUUAUUAAAAAAACCAUAUCUUAUUAAACAUUUUCUAUUGGCACAUAAGUAGUUAAUUUUUUUUUUUGAGGGAAUAAGUAGUUAGUUUUUAUUGUCAAAAGGAAAAAAAUAUUAGUAGUUAGUUUUGUUAAGGUGAGUGACGAGGAAAAUGUUAGUAGCAGGAUUGAACCUUCUUGUUGGUCUCCCUAGCCAACAAUUAGGCUAGUCAUUGAGAAAAAUGUUAGUAAUUAAUUUUUAAUUAGAUGUAGUUAAUUUGUAUAAAAAAUUAGAGUGACUCGAUGAUAUUUUAAAAGGUAUUUCCUCCGUCUCAAAUUGUAUGUCACUUUAGAAAAAUAAUUUGUCCUAAAUUGUAUGUCACUUUACAAUACCAGUGAAACAUUAAUGUUAUUUUUUCUAUUAUAUCAUUAAUUAUUUAUUACUCUUUCUUUUUUCAAUUCUUUUAUUUAUUUUUCCCAUAUCAUUUAUUAAGGACAAUUUUGUAAAACAACUCAUGAUAUCUCUUUCACACACAAUAUUAAUUACAUUUCUUAAUAUGUGUGAAAUGUCCAAAAUAUUAUACAAUUUGGGACAUAGGGAGUAUGUAAGAUCUUCAUACUCGAGUUUAAGUUAGAUGAUUAAUUUUUUUUUGGUAUAAAAGAGGGCCAAAAACCCAAAUAAUUUGCAUUUUAUUAACACAUAAUAACUUGAUUGUAUAUAUUACAUCAAGCAAUAUGUAUUAAAAAAAAUAAGAUUAUUAGUAAAUAUUACCAACAUUUUAUAAAUUAUUUUGGUUAAUGAUUGGUGUUUAUUUUUAUCUAAAAGCUGAUGGGAUGAUUUUUUUUUAAAGAAACUGAUGGGAUCAAUUUUAAUUAAAAAAAAGAACUAAAACAAUUUUAUAAAAUGGAUCUUGUUGAGAUUUCGAAUUCUUUAAAUCAACAUCCAAACACCCCUCCUAACUAUGAGAUCAAGACAGCAAUUAACUGCAUAAAUCAAAGAGACGAAGACUAUUUCAAAUGUGCCAUCUGUAAAUUUAUAAAGAAUUAUUAUAUUUUCCUAUAACUUUUUUUUUACAGGUAUUUUCCUAGAACUUCCAAAAUGUACGGAAGCAAUAUAAAUAUUAAUAUAGAAAAUUGAUUAAUAAUAAAUAAAUAAAAACACAUGUAAUCACUAACUUAAAUUACACAAAAUCCUUUAUAUAUAUAUAUACAGGGGACAUAUCAAGCGAGAAUGAAUAUUUUAGGUGAGAAUAGUAGGAAUAAUUUUGAGCCACUAGAUCAAAAAUUAAACGCAUAAUUUCCUCCCAUUUUUUUCCCACUUGAGAGGAUUCUAAUCCUCCUUUUUUUUUAAGAAAGAGAAGAUCCUAAUCAUAAUCACACGGUUCGUAAUUCGUUUCAGUACAUUGUACAUGUUUGGGUAUGCGGUUUAUAAAUAUAUAUGCUCAGUACAUUAUGGAUUUAUGGUAGUUUUAAUUAAGGGUUAAUUAAGUUUUUGGUCUCUAUAAAUAUCCGCAGUUUUGUUUUUAGUCUCUAUAAAAUAAAUCACACUUUUUUUAAUGAUUUUUUACGUACUUGUUUAAAAUAUUAUAAAAGGUUCCGUCACAAUAAAUUAGCUCAAAAUUUUAUUUUUAGGUCCAAAUUUUCGUUAGUUUUAUCUUGAAUUUAUGGCGUUUUUAAAAAAUUAUAUUUAAUUCAUUACAUGUUAAAAAAUUCUAAUUUUUUAUAAAAGAGAUUAUUAUAAUGUUCUUAACAUGUCUGUUAACAAUCAUUUAAAAAUAUAAAAGUUUAAGUAUAAUUAAACAAAUUUCAAUUUAAUAGGGAUCAACACAUACUUUUAAUCCUUGUAAAAUUAAAAUUUGCUUAAUUGUGCUUAAACUUUUAAAUUUGUAAUAUAUUUUUCACAUACUUACUCAGAAUAUUAUACAAAGUUCCUCCGCAAAAAAUAACUUAGAAUUUGGCUUUUAAAAUUUGGCUUUUAAAAAUUUGGCUUUUAAAAAUAACUUACUCAGAAUCUUAAAAAUUUGGCUUUUAAAAAAUUCAUAUUUAAUUCAUUAUAUGUUAAAAAACUAAUUUUUUUUUAUAAAAGAGUGUCUUACGAUGUUAUGAACAUGUAUGUAAAAAAUCUUUUAAAAAUUUAGAAGAUUAAACAUAAUUAAACAAAUUUUAAUUUAACAGGGACUAAAAACACUAACAGAAAAUUUUAUAGAGACUAAAAAAUGUGAUUUAUUUUUAUAGAACUAAAAACAAAACUUCAGUUAUUUAUAGGGACAAAAAACUUAAUUAACCCUUUAAUUAAAUUAGAACUUGGAUGGGAACAAUGAUAGUGAACUGUCACUUUAGUUUACCUCCUCUUACUUCAUCUGAUAAAACAAACGCUUGGCUGGGGUCUAGUGAACUGUCACUUUAGUGAUAUAAUUAAAAAUAUAAUUUAUUUUGUAAUAAUAUUUUUAAAAUUAAAAAUAUAUUAAUCAUAAGUAUUAAUUUAUCAUUUUUUUAAAAAAAAUACUCUUUCAAAACUUAUAGUAGAUUUCUCAAUUUUUUCAUACAUUUCUCACUCCCAAAGCAUUUCAUUCUCUAUUCUUUCAAACUCGCAAACAAUGCCUAAAAGAGGAUACGGAGAGAGUUAAGAGAGAGGAUGAGAGAAAUUAGAGUAAAAAGAGAGUUGCAAAACACCAAUAUUCAUUGGUUCAAGUGUAACUUUUUUGAAUUAAGUAAAGUCAGUGUCAUGUGAAGAUUACUAGUUAUUGAUAAUUUCGGGAGUUACUGAUAAAGUCGGUCGAUGCUUUGAACUAAUAACGUAGUUGCAAAAUUAAGUCAUAUCUCUAUAUACAUGUAUUCUAAGCUACAUUUCGCCUAUGUGUCACCUUACCAAUGCCCCCCUUUCUAACUAAUCUCUCAUACUUAUGCCAAGUGGCUCUCUUUUGUUCUUGAUUCUUUACUAGCCAUUCUCUACUAUCUAUCUUUCAUCUUUCAUUUCCUAUCCGUUGCAAAAACAUUUCAUUUACUUCACUUCUUGCAAGUUACACAAUGAAUGCAUUAUAAUCUAUUUUAUUAAUAUUGAGGGGUUACGUUUUAAAAUUGUUCAUAUUCUUAAUCAAGACUCUUACACACACAAGUUUACGCUCCUCAUUUUUUUCUAAGCUUAUUAUGUGUUGCUUAUGUUAUCCUUUUCAUUUCUUCUUCCAUUUCAUUUUUUGAUAGUUUUGCUUUUCUCUUCAAGCCUUGUGUGUGUGUGUUUCUAUUUCUAUAAUAUUUCGUAUUCUCUAAUGGAUAUUUUUCAUUGAUUUCAAAUACACAGGUUUUAGGAAAAAGGAGAGUUUUGUUGAAAGGACACUUCAUAUAUGAAAUGGUAGUUGUAUUUUUUUCAUUGAAAUUAAAGUAUUUUUUUCAUUAUUAUUUUUUAUUUAACAUUGUUAUGAGAUAAAGAGUUCACUAAACAUGAAUAUUUUUUUAUUCAUUUUUAUUUCAAGCUAACAUGUGGUUGUUGCUAUAACUAUUAGAGAUUUUUCCUUCUCAACUAAUUGUCAUAAGAUGGAGGAGGAUUGAGAUGGAUCUUACAAGAAACUCAAAAAUCUCAACACCAAAAUUCCUAAAGGGUCGAACAAGAGAAAGUAAGAAUCUUUAUCCAUAGGUGUUAGUUUAAUUUGAUCAAGUAUCCGUGUCUUUGUAAUACGAAAAAAAUACUCUUAUUAUAUUUUUAAUUGAAUAGUUUCUUAUAAGAUCAAGUAUCCUAGGUAAAUAAUUGUAGAAGCACACAUCUUUUCAAAAUUCUAAUUGAAUGUUCUAUAUCUUCGUGAAAUUGAAGAGUCAAAAUCAUGUUUUGAUGAUUUACAUGAAAAUUUAACCCUUGACCAUGGAAUUGGCUGACCUUCAUACUUUCCAUCAAUUGAGUUUUCUACAACUAAGAGUAAAUUUGGAUGCAUAUGAUGAAAUUGUCUAACUAUACUCACAUUCUUUUGAGGAAGUUUUAUUAUUACAUUAUUUUAAGGAUAAUUAAAUGACUUUAUUGCCAUUUAGUUGUUUUCUUUUAAUUAAAGUUUAAUAAAUUUAUUAGCAAUAUUUUUAGAUUUAAUUUCAUAAAGUUUAUAUGGAUUUUAUAUAUAUGAAAGUAUGAGGUUAAGGUUGAAUGUAUAAGUGUUUAUAUCCAUUAUAUAUUAGUCUUCUAUAUUUAUAUUGUAAAGUAAGUUUGAGUUACUCUUGAUCUAGCAUUGUGAUGAUAUGGUACCUUAAAGAUCUUCUCAUAGAUUAAAUUUGACUCAUUAUUCUCAAGCUAUGAUUAUGCAUAUGUGUCACCUCUAAAAAAAACAUUCUCCUAUAUAGUAUAACUUCUUACCCUUUCUCAUUCUAUCUAAUCUAAUAAUUAUAACAAUGCAAGUAAUUUUAAGUUACAAAACUUAUCAUCCUUUCUUAAUAUAUUUGUAGUUAUUAUUUAUCCUACAUUCAAAAAGGCGUAGAGGUAGAAAAUGUGAGAAAGAGUUAGUAAAAAAGAAAGAAAAUGAGAAUGAGAAAUGAAUUAAAAGAAGAGUUGGGAAUAAUUAUUUUGGAGUGCAGUGUUGGAUUAGAGGAGGAUGUGAGGUAAUUAUGUGUAAUUAUGUAGCGUAUAAUUGAUGAGUUGUAAACAAAUAAUUUCAGGGGUCUAUUUUAAUAUAUUAUAAGUUAUGGAAAAAGAGUAUGUGAAUAUUAGGAACCAUAUUAAAUAAAUUAUUAUUUUUUACUUGAAUUAUUUGAAAUACAAUUUAAAUCAAGAAAAAAAUUAUAAGUUGUCAUAUUUUUCUUCAAUCUAAUUGUUAAACUUAAAUUAAAUACUAUGAAACUUUAACUAUCUAAAAAAAUAUUGUGACAUUUUAGCGUAGACACAUCGAGACAAUGAAUCACUGUAUUAGAGAUCAAGUAAAUAAAGGGAGACUGAAACCGCUACAUUGUCCUACUGCUAUAUAUGGAAGCAGACUUUCCAACAUAAUUUGUGAAGCAUGACAAGUUUGAGGAGCUGAGGAACAAGAUGGGUGUCGCAUCUUUGGGGCAUCUAUCUAUCUAUCUAUCUAUCUAUCUAUCUAUAUCUUCUUCUCUAUGUAAACUAAACUUGACUCACUCUAAUGCAAGGAUUGUGCCCAUGUGGCACCUCUAAAAAAGGCUUAAUUUCUAUUCUCUAAUUAUUCUAUCUAAUAAACUAAUCUAAUAUGUAACUUAUCACAUAUUUUUGAUCACAAUAAUGCUAACUCAAUCAUACAAUACAUUAGAAUACAAUGGGUUAUGAUCUCACUCUAGACAAAAAUAACAAAGAAGUUACGUUAAUGAAUAGAAACAUCAUUGUUUUUCUAAAUCUAUGUUUUAAGAAUCUAAUAGUAACGGUUUAUGCACCUAACAAACUAUUAAAACAUUCCAUAAUUUCUUACAACAUCAUCAUUGGAUGUAUCUUUUAACAUUCCUUCAAUUAUAACCUACAAAAUGGAAAAUUUUAAAGUGUACUUUUUUUUUUUGAAUUCCCACUCACCCUUUAUAACCACAUCUUAUGCCACAUUCAUUUUCACUCAAUCCGGGAUGUUUCCACCAUGCCUUCUAUAAACUCUUGGAUGAUACUCUUCAAUCAACUCUUGGAUGAUACUCUUCAAUUUUGUAUCAUUAUAUAUUGAAAGAGCACAUUAUUUUCUUAACAAGAUUGAUGUUGUGGUUUAUUUUUAGAGAGAGUACAUUAUUUUUUAACAAGAUUGAUGUUGUUUUUCUUUUAAUUUUGUUUUCAGGUUCUAUGCAUAGCAAUUAGAGAGAACAUUUUAGAGCUUUGUUAUCGCAAAGUCACAUAAAGAUAUUUAAGCAAUUGGUUUGACUGACAACAAUAUGAUGCAUUUAAAAUAUUGGAAACAAUAUUAUAUUUUAAGGUAGGAUGGAUAAUGUGGGAAAACUGGUGGAUCAAAUUAAAAAUAUUGCUUGGGUAUGGUUCUUGAGCAAAUUGCAAGCAAUAUUUUAAUCAAACCCGUGCAACGCACGGGUUAUAUACCUAGUUUUUCAGUAUUCCAGUUAAAUUCACUAGUAGUACAUAGAUAAACGAUAGAUGUAUUAUGUUUAUUAUGCAUCAAAUUGAGAACAUUUCAGCAGCACAACAAUCAAGGCAGUACAAGAAGUUCUCUUCCCCAAAUUAAUAAAUAGGAAACAAUUUUUUUUUUUUUUUUUUUUUUUAAGAAACAAAUUUAUUUAUUAUUGACAAAACUGAGUAAACUAUGAUCAAAUAAUAGUUUUUUUUCAGGACCGUCUCUGACAAUUCUGAGGCACCGUUGCAAUCUUGACAGUUUUAAUUUAAAAAGUAUUCAAAAAAAAUUUAACAUCACUUAGAAUGACAAACAUCUAUGUUCUACUUAAAUAUAAAAGCAAUUGUUUAAACAUGACUUUUAUCCAUAGACAAAUUGACAUUUACCUAUGGACAAUGUAUAGUUGAAAUUAAAUAGUUGAAUUCUGAACUUUUACUUACAGAAAAAUGACAUUUUAUGACGGAUUUUGUCCGUAGUUACAAGUGUUUUUUCUUUUAUUUUCUUUUUUCCAAAUUUUGAAGCCUCUUUAAGUUUGAGGCCCUGUGCCAAGGACCCCCUGUUAACAAUGGUAGUAUUGAUCCCAUGCAUAUUAUUUACCUGCCUGUGACAUCGCUCAUGGUUACAUUGUUGUUUGAGUUAGAUCGAUGACUUUGUUGAGAAGAUUCUGUACUUCGAGAAUUUUGCUUGUGAACAAAUGCAACUUUACCAGGAGGUGGAAGAUGUGUGAUCUCACUUAUAAGCAUCAAAACUACGGUUGAUAUACUUGGUCUUUCUUUUGGAAGUUCUUGCACACAAAGAAGUCCUAUGUGUAUGCACCUUAACAUGCUACUCUCAAAAGAUGCAUCCCAAACCUCUGGAUCUAUUAGAGAUAUAAUGUUUUCUUCUAACCAUAGCUUCCAUGCCUAGUAAUUGAAACAAAACAAUGAUAAACUUAUUAUUAGUAAUAGAGAUUCUUUCUAAAUUUGCUUCCAACACUCUUUUAAUAUUGGUUAAAAUUUGCGUAAGUUCUUCGAAUGUGAAUGAUAUUGAAAACUUGACGCACAAAGAAUAGUGGAGUUCACACAAAUUUUAAACUAACAUUAAGUGUUGAAAGUGUAUUGUUAACACUUCUUGUAUUAUAGUAUAUGUAAUAAAGACAUCGACUAUAUAAACUUACAAAGCCUACAAGGCUAAGAGAAUCCUCGCUGUGAUAAAAGCUACUAUUUCUUCGUCCACUAACAAGCUCUAGCAAUAAAACUCCGAAACUAUAGACAUCUGAUUUCUCUGAGAAAAGCCCCUCCAUUGCAUAUUCAGGUGGCAUAUAACCACUGCAUUUAGGAUAUAUAUUAGACAAACCCAUAUUAUAAUAAGACAAAUAAUAAUGAAACAAUUUAUUUGUAAUAUUAAUUCCAACAUUGUAAUGUCCGAUGAGAUAUGAUUACUUACUAAGUUCCAACAACCCUUUUUGUGUUAGCUUCAUCAUCUUCUCCAAAUUUAACAAUUCUAGCUAAACCAAAGUCUGAUAUUUUUGGAAUCAUGUCGCCAUCAAGUAAGACGUUGCUGGCUUUUAAAUCUCUAUGUAUAAUCCUUAGUCUUGAGUCUCUAUGAAGAUACAUUAUACCUCGAGCUAUCCCUUCUAUUAUGUUUGACCGCUUUUUCCAAUCUAAGUUUUUCUUUUGUAGCGGAUCUUAAAACAAUAAAGAAUACAUUAAUGUGAUGAUAAAUUGGUGCUUUAUGAACGUUGAAAAGAAGGAAAACAUACUUAGGAGGCGUUUUUUAUAUACAACAUUAUUAAGUGCUUAUAUAUAACUAAUCUGUACAAUUGAAGAGGUAAUGCCCCCUAAGGAUAUAUAAUCUAUCAAUCGCUUAUAUAUAAAUUUGAAAACAAUUUAAGACACGGUUAUAUGAAGGAGUUUUUGAAAAUUAUAGUUGACAUAUCAUAAGCUUUUUUAUAGGCACUUUCAAACACUUAAUCAGGUGCUUAUAUUAGAAGCUGAGUUCAAAUAAUUUUUCAAACAUUUAAGCAGGUGCUUAUGUUUAUUGUAAUUAUUCAUUAAUGUAAUUAGUGUUAUAUAUAGCUAAAUGAAGACAUACAAUAGCUAAGAUAGGAUAGCAGUAGAAUAAAGAAACUAGUUACUAAGCUAAACUAGAUUGCUUGUUCUCUAAGGUAUCUUCUUCACUCUUGUUGUGUAAUACUUAUCACUGUACUACUAACUGAGCUAACAAUAUUAAUUUGUGGUUAGAACUUAGAAAACAAAAGUGGCAAAAUAACUAACCAAAGAGGAAUGCAUCCAAACUUUUGUUUGGCAUGAACUCAUAAACCAACAUUUGCUCUCCUCUUUCAACACAACAACCUAGAAGUCUUACGAGAUUUCCGAUGUUGAAGUUUAGAAAUCACUACUACUUCGUUCAUGAAUUCUUCUAUUCCUUGUCCUGAUGACUUCGAGAGUCUUUUCACGGCAAUUUCUUGGCCAUCUUGCAUUAUUCCCUGGAUAGUGUCAAAAAAAAAAAUUGGAUUUAUAAUAUAUAUUAUUCAAUAAAUAACAUAAAAAUAAGAAAAUCUUAGAUAAGAUCACCUUGUAUACAGGACCAAAACCUCCCUUCCCAAGAAUAUUUCCAAAGUGAAAGUUGUUUGUGGCAGCUUCAAGCUUUGCGAACUCAUACACUGGUAGCUCAUCUAUUUUCAUUUGGUUUUGUUCUCUAUUAAUCAAGUUUUGAGACUUACUUCCUGAAUACAUUUGUCAAUUGUUAACAAGAAUAUAUAUUGUCAAGCUAAAAAAAGAAUAAUCAAAAUUUGUAUAAAUCCAUUCUAAAUUACAAUUAUGUUCUAGCAUGGUUUAUGCAAGAAUAUAUGUUAUUAUAAAGUAACAAUAAUUGUUACCCUCUCUUCUAACAUUCAUUCACACACCCUCCUCUUACUUCAAUUCAAGUUUGAAAUAGAAAUAAGGCAACUUUACCUCUAUGCCUGGUUGAACAUUUUCUCCACAAAAGAUAAGCACAUAUAGCCAAAGUACAUGCUCCUAUCCCCCCAGCAAUGGCAAUGAUUAAAACACUCUUGUUACGCCCUUUUUCCUUUUUAGUAACCGCAACUGUAAGGACCCAAAUUCAGAUUAUUAGAGUCUAAAAACUUAAAUUAUUUUGAUAUUCAAUAAUUUAAAGAAAAUUUACCAAGUUCUGCCGGCACACGAAUGAAGAGAUCAACUCCGCCGGUAGGAAAUUUCUGCAAAUCAAUUAACUCGCUACUCCAAUACAUACAACCUAUAGAAGGAUCAUAUGCAUAUGCCAAACAAGUACAAUUUGCCAAACAAUCUGUUCCACAUUUAUCUUGAUUACCAGCUGAUCUCUCAUUAAAAUCAGGAGGUUUCAUAUUAUGAUGCACCAAAAAUGCAUCUUGUUUCACUAGAUUUGAUCCAUUCUUCACCAUCUCACACUUCAAGUUCAAUCCUUCUGUUCUCACACAACCAUUAGUCCAAUUUCCUAAACUCCACUCCACCGAAUUCUUUGGCUGAAACCCAUCAAAACAACUACAAAUUGGUACACUAGAAUUAUCACAAUUUCCAAAUGGCCCACAUUUUCCAUAAAAAUCACACUCAUUUUGAUCAACCUCAAGUCUAAAAAGUUCCUUUUUAUUCUUAUACUCAAUCAACUUAAGUGUCCCAUGUGGUGUCAAUGAGAGAAUUCCAAACAUAGUUUUGUCGGCGAAAUUAUAAGUUAUAAAAGUGGUUCCAUCAUCGUCGACACCUAAACGCCAACCAAAUAGAUAUUCGGUUGACAAUCUUGGCGUUCCGAGAAAAACUCUUCCAUUCCAUGGACCAGUUCUCCAAUAAAUUUUUUUAUCUUUCCAAAUGAAAACUUCUGGUACAUCCAAUCUUUCAACACUAAUUGUAAAAUGUCCCGAAGAAGGAUCAUUGUCACUUUUUCUUGCUACAAAAGCAAUUUGCUUACCUGUAACUUUGUUAGAUGCAAUUUUCAUCGAUGGAACAGCUGAAUCUGAAGGGUGUGUGAAACUAUCCCAGAUUGUUGCUCCAGAAUUGAUGUCUCUUAGAAUCAAGUUCCCUGCAUCAUCAAGUUUAGCUGUUGAAUUUGUUGAAGAUGAAAUGUUUGUUGACCAAAUGAUGCUGCCAUUUGGUUUGUUCAAAAUUACAAGAUUUCCAUUUUUGUGAAUUGUGACAAUUCCAUUUGAAUCUUUGAGUGGUUGAUCUCUGUUUGCAAUCCAUAUGUUGUUGGUCUCAUUGAUGUACCAAAUUCCUAAGUAACGGUUGGGCGAAUUUAAUGGGCUGAAAAAUCCUAGCUUGAGGUCUGUGUUGUUUGAGGUUAUUGUUUCAUUGUCUUUGAGUAAUUUGGAUGAUGUAAUAGUGUCGUUGACAGCACUAUAACAUGAAUAAAAUGUGCAAAAUAUGAGGAAUGUUAUGAACAAGUGGUUUUUGUUAUGACUUAGAAAAGCCAUGAACAUGUAACAAAAUGGUGUUUUUUGAGGAAUACUAGGAUUUAAUUUGGUUUGAUGAGAUUUGUAAUUUGUUUCAUGUUCCUAAUCAAAUUCACGUGGAAGAAGUUGUUGAAUUGUGGAGUCGUUGAGAUGCUCUAUUGAGUUUGCAAUUAGUUGACUUUAGCAACGUGCUAAGCAAUGGGAAUUACAUGGAAAAAUCAUAAGUUGCAUUAUUUUAUUACCUAUGAAGCCAAAUUGUGUAUUCCUUGCGGGUAGCUUUUUCUUGUACAAAUAAAAACAAAAGAACUUAGAAGUCAACUCGAGUAUUGCUUGCAUUCACGCUUCUUUAAUGUCAAAAUUUACAUUUUCAAUCCUUAAGCCCUUUAGUCUCUUUAUGUGUAUAUAUAAAUAGUUGUUGGAGCAAAGGAAAUGUUACGAUAUAUCACACUUUCCGAGAAGUGAAUCGAUGUAUAGAUUUUUUUGUUAAGUUUGAUGCCUCGUCGAACUUUGAGUUUCUUUGUCACGUGUCUACUUCGACGAAUCUUUUGAAUUUUCUUCGGAGUCAUGCAGCUGGAACUUUUUAUUUGAGAGAGUAAGCUCUCUUUUAUCUAUUUCUUUUGUUUUCCUUUUUUUUUUUUUUUUUUCUCUUUUGUUUUAGCAUUGUACUAAAAAAAAUAUAUAUAAAGAUGAUUAGGCUUGACUUGGUUAAACUGAAGUUAUCGACUUUCCUUAGAAAAAAUGUCCAAAGAUAUAUAUAAAGCAUUUAAUUUCAUUACAUCUUCGAAUUCUUCAAAUCAAUUUGCGAAUUUCUUAUGAAUUCUUCUGCUUGCAAUCGCACGUAACUGAGAGAUCAAGAGAGGGGGCAAUUCCUGCAUAAAUCAGAGACUAAGACCAUUCAAAGGUGCCUUCUGUAAUUUUACAAAGAAUAAUAUUUAGUGUUAUGUAAGCAAAUCAUUGUUCACAUUGUACGGAAGAAAUAUAAAUAGAAUCUAGGCUUAAUUGCAUUUUUGGACCCCUAUCUUUUCAAAAGUUGCGGUUAUGGACCCCUAACUAAUUUAAAUACAAAACAGCCCCCUAUGUUUUGAUUCUUUGGCAGUUUUGGACCCCCAGUCCAUUGUUGACUCGGUCAACGCUGACGGGGCACCCUAAGUGAGGUGCCACGUGUCAAUUUUUUUUUUUUUUUUUGCCUUGGGGUCCAAAACUGCCAAAGAAUCAAAACAUAGGGGGCUGUUUUGUAUUUAAAUUAGUUAGGGGUCCAUAACCACAACUUUUGGAAAGAUAGGGGUCCAAAAGUGCAAUUAAACCUAGAAUUUAAUUGAUAUACUUUGUGAGUGGAUUUUAUUUUACAGAGCAUUUAAUGAUGCAUUGUCAUGAUUUUUAUUUUUUUUGAAGGGAGUCAAUGAAUUUUUUAUUUGGUGGUAAAACUUUGAAUUUGAUAGAGGUGAACAAUUUGGUUAAGAUUGGUUUACAGUUAAAAAAAAUGUUUGAAUCAAUGAAAUUUACAUCGGUUAGGGUUUUACUAUUUUUCAAAAAUGGAACCUAACCAAUCUGGAUUUGUUUGAAAAUACAAUUGAAAAAAACCAUAUUUUAAUUCUCUUGUUACAUUUCAUAUUUCAUGCUCUCCGCGUCUCUAUUUUUUCAAACAACCUCAUAUUUCAUGCAUACUCAAAUAUUAUAUACUUAAAUUAAAACAAAUUCAUCAAACAAUCUAAAAUUAAAACAUACAUCUAUCCCAAAAAUACAUCCAUACAUCUAUCCCAAAAUACAUCCAUCAAAUAACAUCAUCACCGUAGUGUUAGAGAACAAGGAAUCGCCAUUCAUCACCAUAAUAAGAUUUUUCCAAAGGUUUUCCAAAUGAUUACCUCGGUGGGUUUAAGUUUGACAAAAAUAUCAAGAUAAUUUUUAUUUUUUUUUUAAAUUUUAAAUAGGUCUUUUAAUUGUUAAUUUAUUGCACCAUUAUCCCUGAAGUCAGACUCUCUUGCAAAAUUGUUGAGUGGUGGGUCAUUGUCAGCAAAUUUUUUUUUUUUUUUUUAAUUGAAAAACCCCAAAAACAAAUUAUCUUCAUCAUCCACCAUUUUGUUCAUCUUUUUCAUCAUUUGUUCAUCAUCAUCACAUUUUCUCAAAUCUCAUUCCUUCUUCUUUGUUAUAAUUCCAUACAAGAACAAAUAGGAAACAAGCAAACAAAAAGAGAAAUAGAAUGGAAUGGAAAACACUCAUUCCUUCUUCUUUCUUGCAUCCGCCCAAAUCAGAAACACCAGAUCUCAAUCUCUAGGAAUUAUUUUUCUACUGACUGCAAAUUUACUAGGAAUUAUUUCUCUAACAAAUUGAUCUCAUAAUCCAUGUUUCCCUCAAUUUAGUAGGUAUUCUGCAGUAUAUUUCUAGCUAAAUUCGUUUGCUAGUCAACAACAAAUUAGCUACAAAUAUUGUCGUAGCAAACUGCAUAUUAUCUUGUAGUGCAUUUGAUGGAUAUCCAUAUCAUGUGUAAAUCGGACAAAGUCAACCAUUUAGAAUUAAUUAAUUUAUCAGCAUACAGAAGCAAACAAUAAUUUAUGAAUUGUUGAUCGUGAUUGUUUAAAAGGAGAUUAGAUAUAGGAAAAACGUUUCCCAUCUUAGUUGAACUUGCAAAAUAUUUCCCCCUUGCAAAAGCCAAAAGGACAACUGUUAGCAACACAAAGUCGAUGUUGAGGGGGCAUACAUUUCCAUUUUCUUAUUACUAAAACAAUAGAACUGCGCAGUAUACAUUAUUUAUAGAGUAGUGAUAUUUGAACGACUCUUUUGGUACAACUUUUGGGACAACCUUAUUGUGUUCCCUUCUUAUUGGUCAAAAACAAUAAAGAGGGAAAAAGGAAGAGAGAGAAUAAGAAGAUAAUGUGAGUAUGAGAGAGAAUAUUGUACAAAAGUUGUACAAAAAUGGUUAUACAAAUAUCAUUUCUCUUAUUUAUAACUAUAUUUUGUGACAUGGUUGCUCAAAAAAAAAAAAAAAAAAAAAAACUAUAUUUUGUGACAUGGUUAUCCUUACCAUCGACCAUGAACUAGAAAAAUACUAUUAAUAUUUUUUUGUAAGUACAAUUCAGUUGGUAUAUUACAUAAGUAGAAUUCACUUGAUAGCUACAAUAACAUUGAUAUGUUGUGAUCCGUAUCUGAAAAUUGAAUGUAAUAACUAUGGUAAACACUAACAUAUGUGUCGUAGGAAUUGUGUUAAUUUAUUUUUCAAAAAGUUAAAAAUUAAUUUUUAUCAAUGAAUAAUUUUUGUUUGUACGUGGGGGGGUUGGUGUUUUAGUUGGCCGUGUUUGGAUGUUGGUGCUCAUUUCCAUGGUGUUCCAUCUAUAUACGGCACUUUGUUGUAUUUGUUUCUCUUGGCUAGUUUUAUGCGUUAAUAAAUUUGCUAUUUAAAAAAUAAUUACUUACAAGAGCAAGAUGGAUAUAAAAAUUUAGGUCUCAUUUACUUUGUGAAAAUAUUUUCGAUUUUCAUUUUAAAAAUGUGUAUAUUUUAACUUUCUAAUAAGAUGUGAGAUUCUUGUACCAAUCAUUAUCUGUGAUAAAGAGAAAAUAAAAUGUUACCAAGAGAAGAUUCAUUUUUGUUGGAAAUAUUGAAUACAUUUGUUGUCAUUUUCACUAUUUUUUUAAAAAAUAAAAUGCACACAAUUGUUCAUUUUAAUAUAUAAUAUAUUACCUCCUUCCUAUCAAGUAAAAUUAACUCAAAUUUUAGAAUGUGAAUGAAGAAAAUAUAUUCAGAAAGUAAAGGGAGCUUUAAAUUUGAAGAUAAUUAAGAAUAUGGACGUCUAUAUUUGCACCCAAUUUUUUAGCUACCAUAUUCGUUUAUCGCUAAAUAAACUUCACCACAAAGUUUGAAUUAAAAGAUAAUAAACACUUAAUACUUGAAACGAUAGACUCAAAAUACUUCAUAUAUCACAGUUGGUCCAUUGAAUGACACCAGUAAGAGUUUUACAAUCUGUCUCAAAAAUAGCAUAUACUCCUAGGAGUGUUUAUGCUGCCUCUCCCUCCUUAGCCUGCAUUACAAAUUCAUUUCAAACAGUAUAGAAGUUGCAUACAUACUUUUCUUGCUAUGAGUUUUCUCUUGUUCCGAUUUCGCCAUUAGCCCCAAACUAUACCAUAGCCAGCUUGCUCUUCGUUUCACUACUCUUAUGUGAUCCCAUGACUGUUGCAAGUUUUUUCUUAACAAUUAUAGUAUUGAUCCCAUGCAUGUUAGUUUACCUGCCUUGAACUUCACUGAGAGUUACAUUGUUGUUUGAGUUAGAUUGAUGACUUUUUUGAGAAGAUUCUGUAGUACUCUUUGAACUUUGCUUGUGAACAAAUGCAACUCUCCCCGGAGGAGGAAGAUGUGUAAUUUCACUUACAAGCAUCAAAACAACAGUUGAUAUAUUUGGUCUGUCUCUUGGAAGUUCUUGUACACAAAGAAGUCCGAUGUGUAUGCACCUUAACAUGCUGCUCUCAAAACAUGCAUCCCAUACCUCUGGAUCUAUUAGAGAUAUAAUGUUUUCUUCUAACCAUAGCUUCCAUGCCUGGUAAAAAAAAAACAAUAAUGAUAAUAAUAAGUUUCUUUCUGAAUCGGCUUCCAACGCUAUUAUUGGUUAAAACUUAUGUGGGUCUUUCCGGUGUGGAAAUGAGCUCCGACAAUCAGAAAAAGUGACCCUCAUAAAUUAGCAAAACCCACUCAAAAUUUUAGACAAGAAUGAAGUGUUGAAAGUGUAUUGCCAACACUUCUUUUCUCAUAGUAUGUAAUGAAGGCAUGGAGUAUUUAGACUUACAAAGCCUACAAGGCUAAGAGUAUCCUCGUGAUGAGAAAAGCUACUAUUUCUUCUUCCGCUAACAAUCUCCAGCAAUAGAACCCCAAAGCUAUAGACAUCUGAUUUUUCAGAGAAAAGCCCCUCCAUUGCAUAUUCAGGCGGCAUAUAACCACUGCAUUUAGAACAUAUGUUACUAUAACCCCAAGUAAAAAAAAUAAAAUUAAACCACUCAUUUGUAACACUAAUUCCAACAUUAUAAUAUCAAAUGAGAUAGUACUACUUACUAAGUUCCAACAACCCUUUUUGUGUUAGCUUCAUCAUCUUCUCCAAAUUUAACAAUUCUUGCUAAACCGAAGUCUGAUAUUUUUGGAAUCAUGUCACUAUCAAGUAAGAUGUUGCUUGCUUUUAGAUCUCUAUGUAUGAUCCUUAGUCUCGAGUCUCUAUGAAGAUACAUUAUACCUCGAGCUAUUCCUUCAAUUAUGUUUGAUCGCUUUCUCCAAUCUAAAUUUUUCUUUUGUAGUGGAUCUAAAGAAAAAUAAAGAAUACAUUAAUGUGAUGCCAAAUUGGGUACUUAAGAACUUUUAGCAGAGAAAUAUACUUAGGAGACGCUUGAAUAAACAACAUAAUUAAGUGCUUAUGUUUAAAUUAUUUUGACAAUUAAAGAGGUAAUGAGGAUACUGAAAACAACUUAUGGCACCAAGUUAUAUGAAGGAGUUUCAAAACAUUAGCUGACAAUAUUAUUAACUGUUUUAUAGACUCUUUCAAAUACUUGAUCAAGUGCUUAUAUAAUAAGUAAAGUCCAAAUAAACUUGUCUAAACACUUAAGCAAGUGCUUAUAUUAAUUAUUAAAUUAUGAACUUUUCAAGAAGUUUAGCUAGCAUGUGAAGAAAUUAUUCACUAAUUUUUUAAUCUACCACUAAGUGAGCUAAUAAUUUUAGUUUGAGGCAAGAAUAAAAAAGAGACCAAAGAACUAACCAAAGAGGAAUGCAUCCAAACUUUUAUUUGGCAUGAACUCAUAAACCAAAAUUUGCUCUCCUCUUUCAACACAGCAACCUAAAAGUCUCACAAGAUUGCGAUGUUGAAGUUUAGAAAUCACUACAACUUCAUUCAUGAAUUCUUCUAUUCCUUGUCCAGAUGCUUUUGAGAGUCUUUUCACAGCAAUUUCUUGACCAUCUUCCAUGACUCCCUAGAUAGUGUAAAAAGUAUUUUAAUAUUGAAUUUAUGAUAUAUAAUACAAAAUAUGUCAUACAAAAUCUUAAACAAAAUCACCUUGUAUACUGGGCCAAAACCUCCCUUCCCAAGCAUAUUAUUAAAAUGAAAACAGUUUGUGGCAGUUUCAAGCUUUUCAAAAUCAUAUAGUGGUAGCUCAUCCAAUUUCAUUUGUUGAUGUUCUCUAGUAAUCAUAUUUUGAGGUAGUCUUCCUGGAUUCAUUUGUCAGUUGUUAGCAAAAUAUAUAUUUGCAACAUCAAAAAAGUUCAAAACAAAAAUAAAAAUCAGGAAACUUUAACAAAAAUCAGGUAACAAAAAUAGAUAUAUAUUUACAUACACCCUCCUUUGUACUUACCCUAUUGAAAAACAAAAAUCUUAAUGCACUUCAAUGCAAGUUUGAAAUAGAAAUCAGGAAACUUUACCUUUAUGCCUAGCAGAACAUUUCCUCCAUAAAAGAUAAGCACAUAUAACCAAGAUAAGUGCUCCUAUCACCCCAGCAAUUACAAUGAUUAAAAAACUCUUGUUGUGUCCUUUUUCCUUUUUAACAGCAACUGUAAAUUAUACAAAUUAUUAGAAUUAAUAAAAGCUUAAACAAAUUAAUGCAUUUUUAGUAGUUGAAACAAAAAGAAUGUUUGUCCAUGAGGUGUCAACUCAGUGAUAAAACUUUAAUGUGUAGCUUAAAGUGACAGUGCUUUAAUGUAUGAAACAGUUGUAAAAUAGUUAUUUUUGUCACAUUUAUUAAUAAAGUAAAACAAAGCUCUUUAAAAGAAAGAUAGAAAAGAUACCUAGUUCUGCCGGCACACGAACGAAGAGAUCAACUCCGCCAUUAGGAAAUUUCUGCAAAUCAAUUAACUCUCCAGUCCAAUACAUACAAAAUAUAGAAGGAUCAUAUGCAUAUGCCAAACAAGAACAAUUUGCCAAACAAUCUGCUCCACACUUAUCUUGAUCAGCAUUAUUUGUUCUCACAUUAAAAUCAGGAGGUUUCAUAUUAUGAUACACCUUAAAUCCAUCUUGUUUAACUAUACUUGAUCCAUUCUUCACCAUCUCACACUUUAAGUUCAUUCCUUCUUUCCUCACACAACCAUUAGUCCAAUUGCCUAAACUCCAUUCCACAGAAUUCUUUGGCUCAAACCCAUCAAAACAACUACAAAUUGGCACAGUAGAAUUAUCACAGUUACCAAAUGGCCCACAUUUUCCAUAAAAAUCACACUCAUUUUGAUCAACCUCAAGUCUAAAAAGUUCCUUUUUAUUCAUAUACUCAAUCAACUUGAGUGUUCCAUGCGGUGUCAAUGAGAGAAUUCCGAACAUAGUUUUAUCAGCAAAAUUGUAAGUAAUAUAAGUAGUUCCAUCAGUGUCUUGAUCAAAACGCCAACCGGCUAAAUACUCGGUUAACAUUCUCGGUGAUCCGAGAAAAACCCUUCCAUUCCAUGGACCUGUUCUCCAAUGAAUAUUUUUAUCUUUCCAAAUGAAAACUUCUGGUGCAUCCAAUCUUUCAAGACUAGCUGAAUAAUGUCCUGAAGAAGGAUCAUUAUCACUUUUUCUUGAUACAAAGGAUAUUUUCUUACCUGUUACUUGGUUAGCUGCAAUUCUCAUUGUUGGAACAGCUGCAUCUGCAGGGUGUGUGAAACUAUCCCAGAUUGUUGCUCCGGAACUGAUAUCUCUCAAAAUCAAGUUUCCUGAAUCAGCAAGUUGAGCUGUUGAAUUUGUUGAAGAUGAAAUGUUUGUUGACCAUAUAAUAACACCAUUUGGUUUGUUCAAUAUUAUAAAAUUUCCAUCUUUGUGAAUUGUGACAAUUCCAUUUGAAUCUUUGAGUGGUUGAUCUCUGUUUGCAAUCCAUAUAUUGUUGGUCUUAUUGAUGUACCAAAUUCCUAGGUAACGGUUGGUUGAAUUUAAUGGGCUGAAAAAUCCUAGCUUGAAAUUUGUGUUGUUUGAGGUUAUUGUUUCAUUGUCUUUGAGAGAUUUGGAUGAUGUAAUGGUGUCAUU
rnacentral:lncRNA from 1 species